AUUGAACGCUGGCGGCAUGCUUUACACAUGCAAGUCGAACGAGUGGCGAACGGGUGAGUAAUAUAUCGAAACGUACCGAGUAAUGGGGGAUAACCAAUCGCAAGAUUGGCUAAUACCGCAUAUUAUUCGAGCGGCCGCUAAAUGAUUAGCUAGUUGGGGGGGUAAAGGCCUACCAAGGCGACGAUCAGUAGCGGGUCUGGGCUGAUGAUCAGCCACACUGUGACUGAGACACGGCCCAGACUCCUACGGGAGGCAUCAGUGGGUAAUUUUGGAACAUGGGGGAAACCCUGAUCCAGCCAGGCCGCGUGUAUGAAGAAGGCCUUCGGGUUGUAAAGUACUUUUGUUAGGGAAGCGGUACCUAAAGAAUAAGCACCGGCUAACUACGUGCCAGCCGCCGCGGUAAUUC
rnacentral:rRNA from 1 species